GAUAGGAGCAGACUACCAGAGGUGAUGAUACUAGAGGGACCAGCCUGAUAGGAGCAGACUACCAGAGGUGAGGAUACUAGGGGGACCAGCCUGAUAGGAGCAGACUACCAGAGGUGAUGAUACUAGGGGAAUCAGCCUACCAGAGGUGAGGAUACUAGGG